UACGUAGGGUGCAAGCGUUGUCCGGAAUUAUUGGGCGUAAAGAGCUCGUAGGCGGCUUGUCGCGUCGGCUGUGAAAACCUGGGGCUCAACCCCGGGCCUGCAGCCGAUACGGGCAAGCUAGAAUUCGGUAGGGGAGACUGGAAUUCCUGGUGUAGCGGUGAAAAUGCGCAGAUAUCAGGAGGAACACCGGUGGCGAAGGCGGGUCUCUGGGCCGAUACUGACGCUGAGGAGCGAAAAGCGUGGGGAGCGAACAGG
rnacentral:rRNA from 1 species